rnacentral:rRNA from 1 species
ACCCUUAGAUGUUCGGGGCCGCACGCGCGCUACACUGAUGGGGUCAGCGUGUUUGCACGUCCUGGUCCGGCAGGAUUGGGCAAUCCGUUGAACCUCCGUCGUGAUUGGGAUCGGAGCUUGUAAUUAUUCUCCGUGAACGAGGAAUUCCCAGUAAGCGCAAGUCAUCAGCUUGCGUUGAUUACGUCCCUGCCCUUUGUACACACCGCCCGUCGCUACUACCGAUUGGAUGGCUUAGUGAGACCCUCGGACCGAUAGGCUGUCGCUGCAGCAAUGUGGCGACUGGCCCGUCUGGGAAGAAGGUCAAACUUGACUGUCUAGAGGAAGUAAAAGUCGUAACA